ensembl:ncRNA F31B12.9 ncRNA
ACUUACUUCCAGAUACUCGUCAUUAAUUUGUUCAUUAUUUUCUGCCGUCGUUGGUUCCUCUUCUUCUACAUGAGUACUGACUACAUGAAUUAUUUCGGCACACCAAUUCUUGACAGUUGGAUGUUGAGGAGAGUUUAGGAUU